rfam:Enterococcus casseliflavus EC20, complete genome.
AAACAGACAUCGAAAAGAAGAGUAGCAAGGCUUGCUGUUUGAAGAGAGUCUCUGGUUGGUGCAAAGAGAUAACGCAUGGUUGUGAAACACAUCUUGGAGUCGUUUUUCCGAAAGAAAAGUAGGAGAGACCGGGUUUGCCCGUUACAGCAGCAGUCAUUGAUUGAUGACUUUCUGAGUUCAGUUGCUGUGAAGCACUGAUAAACAAAGGUGGAACCGCGUUGAUAACGUCCUUUAG